GUAGCUUUGCGUGUUUUCAAGUGGUCUUUCCAUUUCUUAUUCGAACAAAUCCUGUAUGAGACGCCCCGCAUCCAGUGAUGAAAACUGCGGCUUUGAUAAUACUCACCUUUGCUAUUCUGUGUCUCAUGAAAGGUACCAGUGGCGCCCCCAAGAAGCGAUGGACUCUCCCUGGCGAAUGCGAAUAUAAAAUUUCCUGCUUUUCAAACCGACAAUGUCGAAAUACCUACGGUAAUGGUUACCAAUGUGUAUUUGCCGACAACUGUGGCCCGACGUGUUGCAAAGAUUAUGAAGGAGACGAUCCGGACUGUAAGACGACAAUGAUUGAUGAUGGUGAUGAUUAAGGACACAACAACAACGACGACGACGACGACAACAAAAAUGUAACGCUGUAACUGAUUCAUAGAAUAUAAUACAUGUACUGAAAACU